UACGAAGGGCGCAAACGUUGCUCGGAAUCAUUGGGCGUAAAGCGCACGUAGGCGGCCUGAUAAGUCGGAUGUGAAAUCCCUCGGCUCAACUGAGGACGUGCAUUCGAAACUGCCAGGCUCGAGUAUGGAAGAGGGUCGCGGAAUUCCCGGUGUAGAGGUGAAAUUCGUAGAUAUCGGGAGGAACACCAGUGGCGAAGGCGGCGACCUGGGCCAAUACUGACGCUGAGGUGCGAAAGCGUGGGGAGCAAACAGG
rnacentral:rRNA from 1 species